rnacentral:sRNA from 1 species
AACGAACACGGACGAACGUCCGCCGGUUCAAAAG